GACGAACGCUGGCGGCGUGCUUAACACAUGCAAGUCGAACGAAGAGCGAUGGAAGCUUGCUUCUAUCAAUCUUAGUGGCGCACGGGUGAGUAACGCGUAAUCAACCUGCCCUUCAGAGGGGGACAACAGUUGGAAACGACAGCUAAUACCGCAUACGAUCUAAUCUCGGAAUCGAGGAUAGAUGAAAGGUGGCCUCGACAUGUAAGCCAUCACUGAAGGAGGGGAUUGCGUCGGAUUAGCUAGUAGGAGGGGUAACGGCCCACCAAGGCGAGGGGCAGUAGACGGGCUGAGAGGGUGAACGGCGACAUUGGGACUGAGACACGGCCCCGACUCCUACGGGAGGCGGCGGUGGGGAAACUUCCGCAAAGGAGGAAAGACUGUCGGAGAGACGCCGCGCGAGCGAGGACGGCCUUCGGGUUGUGAAGCUCUGUUAGUCGGGACGAAAGGCCUUCUUGCGAAUAGUGAGAAGGAUUGACGGUACCGGAAUAGAAAGCCACGGCUAACUACGUG
rnacentral:rRNA from 1 species